AGUACCACGGGACACGUGAAACCCUGUGGGAAGCAGGAGGGACCACCCUCCAAGGCUAAAUACUACCUAGUGACCGAUAGCGUAUAGUACCGUGAGGGAAAGGUGAAAAGAACCCCGGGAGGGGAGUGAAAUAGAACCUGAAACCCUGCACUUACAAGCUGUGGAAGCACAUUUCUUGUGUGACCGCGUACUUUUUGUAGAACGGGCCAACGAGUUACGUUAAGUAG
rnacentral:rRNA from 1 species